AUUGAACGCUGGCGGCAUGCCUAACACAUGCAAGUCGAGCGGAGCGGCUGACGGGCGAGUAAUGCCUAUGAAUCUGCCUGGUACUGGGGGAUAACGUCCGGAAAAGGGAGCUAAUACAGCAUACUAUCAGAUGAGCCUAGGUCGGAUUAGCUAGUUGGUGGGGUAAAGGCCUACCUAGGCGACGAUCCGUACCUUGUCUGAGAGGAUGAUCAGUCACAGUGGAACUGGGACACGGUCCAGACUCCUACGGGAGGCAGCGUUCAGGAAUAUUUGACAAUGAGCGAAAGCCUAAUCCAGCCAUGCCGCGUGUGUGAAGAAGAGCUUCGGAUUGUAGAGCACUUUAAGUUGGGAGGCGUUACCAACAGAAUAAGCACCGGCUAACUUCGUGCCAGCCGCCGCGGUAAUUC
rnacentral:rRNA from 1 species